GCCAGGCAUGGUGGGGCAUGCCUGUAAUCCCAGUGGCUUGGGAGGCUGAGGCAGGAGGACUGAGGGUUCAAAGCCAGCCUCAG
rnacentral:sRNA from 1 species